rnacentral:rRNA from 1 species
AGUGGGGAAUCUUGCACAAUGGGGAAACCCUUGAUGCAGCGACGCCGCGUGAGCGAUCAAGCCCUUCGGGGUGUAAAGCUCUUUCGGCAGGGAAGAUUAUGACGGUGCCUGCAGAAGCAGCUGCGGCUAACUACGUGCCAGCAGCCGCGGUAAUACGUAGGCAGCAAGCGUUGUUCGGAGUUACUGGGCGUAAAGGGUGCGUAGGCGGUGCGGUAAGUCUCUUGUGAAAUCUCCAGGCUCAACCUGGAGCCUGCAAGGGAAACUGCCGUGCUUGAGUGUGGGAGAGGUGAGUGGAAUUCCCGGU